GCGAAUUGAAUGAUAAUGAAAUGAUUGUCGGUACAAUGGGGUCAGAUUUAUCUGUAGGCUCCUAUCUUCUCUUUGCCGUUUGCUCAAGUCUUCAACCUCCUAUGUAACCAUACUAGUCACGUAUGAGUCUCUUAAGGAGAUACUUUAUGUUUCCUUCGUACAGAAACCUUUUUAGUCCUUGCGAUGGUGAGAACGACGUUCAAAGCUUUUGUUGUCGCUCGAAACCGUCUCUUGAUUCGUCUGAUAAAAAUUGAUCGUUAAAUCAUAACUCUAAACUCGUAACAAUAAUUAUGUCGAUGAUAAUUGUGAGAAUACAAAUUUAAAUCCAAUAUAUAUAUAUAUAUUAUAAUUUAUAUUGCAUUACAAUUAUAUUUGUUAUACGACAAAUCGUAAAAUAAAUAUUUGCAAUUUUUUUUCAUUCAGAUCGCUAUCAUGAUUAGUGAUACCAAUUACGAAAUAUACCGAAAUUAUGAUUUUGCGAAUUAUAUGAUUUUUAAAUAAAUUUUUGUAAUAAUCAGUUUAGAAUUAUAAACAGUUGAACGAGUAUAGAAUUUCGUCGAGAAAUAUGAUUGUCUAUUGAAGAAAAAAAAAAAAGAAAAAAGAAAAAUUUCAGACAGUGGCCUAAGGAUUGUCAGAAUGAAUUCCGACGUGUGAUUGCCGAGCGUAUCUCCGCUUCCUCGGACGAACCCAACAAAACGUGUACUACGUAUGAGAAGCCUUAUUCGUUCCGUUAUCUUUUUGUGCUCACCAAUACGGUGGCCGGAAGCUUAAGAUUUCGGUUGGUUAUACCGUGUUACAAUCAUCAAAUAACAAAGUUCAUAUUAUUUUAUUCAAAAUAAAAUAAUCAUAUCGAUAUGAUACGAUACGAUUUUUUAAUAUUUUUAAUCGACAAAACGUUCGUUUGUACAUCUUUCACUGUCAAUGACAAUUUACAAUUAGAAGAGAGAAUUAAAUAAAACUGGAGGGUAUUAAAAAAAAAGAAAGAAAAGAAAAAAAAACAACAAGGAGAACACUCGACCGGUCGUCUGGCCGGCCGUCUGUCUUUUCGAAAUAAAAACCGAAGUAAAAGAUUGUAUUUUCGGUCAAUGCCUCAGUCAGAUGUGUGCUGGUUUCCCUGGGCCGAAGAAGUAGAAGCAGAAGCAGAA
rnacentral:lncRNA from 1 species